AUGGAGGCUGAAGACUGUGAGGAGUUACAAUUGAAAGCAGCCGGGACUGUACGGUUGUGUCAGUCGGACCAGGUUAUUUAUCAUGUGAUGGAUGAGAAUUCACCGAAGAAGAUCUGGGAGAAGCUGAAAUGUCAGUUUAUGUCCAAAACUGCGACGACCAAGGUAUAUUUGAGGCAAAAGUUGUAUGGGCUGAAGAUGCAGGAGGAGUCAGAUCUUGUGGAGUAUAUGGACGCCUUUAAUCAAGUCGUGACGGAUAUAGUACGCUUGGGUGCGACGGUUGACCACGAGGAUAGGGCAAUUUUGCUUCUUUCUUCACCGCGAUAA
rnacentral:rRNA from 1 species